GACGAACGCUGGCGGCGUGCUUAACACAUGCAAGUCGAACGGAAAGGCCCUGCUUUUGUGGGGUGCUCGAGUGGCGAACGGGUGAGUAACACGUGAGUAACCUGCCCUUGACUUUGGGAUAACUUCAGGAAACUGGGGCUAAUACCGGAUAGGAGCUCCUGCUGCAUGGUGGGGUUGGGAAGUUUGGGCGGUUGGGGUUGGACUCGCGGCGUAUCGGCUUGUUGGUGGUGUAGUGGCUUACCACGGCUUUGCCGGGUAGCCGGCCUUAGAGGGUGGCCGGCCACAUUGGGACUGCGAUACGGCCCAGACUCCUACGGGAGGCAGCAGUGGGGAAUAUUGCACAAUGGGCGGAAGCCUGAUGCAGCAACGCCGCGUGCGUGAUGACGGCCUUCGGGUUGUAAACCGCUUUCGCCUGUGACGAAGCGUGAGUGACGGUAAUGGGUAAAGAAGCACCGGCUAACUACGUG
rnacentral:rRNA from 1 species